ACGUACUGAGUUUAGCCCCAUGCGCACGUCACCUUGCGCCGCUACUUGCAUGAGGCCUCGCCGAUCCGUUGCCAAAAGCCAUCAGACGCCACGAGCAAUGUCGCCUCCCGAUGUUGCCCACAACAACCGAUGGCGACACGUACUUAGCCUAGCCCCAUGCGUACGGCACCUUGCGGCGCUACUUGCACGAGGCAUCGCCGUUCCGUUGCAAAAAGCCAUCAGCCUCCACGAGCGAUGUCGCUUCCCGGUGUUGCCCGCAAUAACCGAUGGCAGUCGGCACGUACUUAGCUUAGCCACAUGCGCAUGGCACCUUGCGGCGCUACUUGCAUGCGGACUAGCCGUUCCGUUGCCAAAAACCAUCAGACGCUACGAGCGAUGCCGGACACUACUCAUAACAAUCGAUGGCAAUCGGCACCUACUUAGAUUAGCCCCAUGCGCAUGACACUUUGUGGUGCUACUUGCAUGAGGCCUCGCCAUUCCGUUUCCAAAAACCAUC
rnacentral:lncRNA from 1 species